rnacentral:rRNA from 1 species
GAUGAACGCUGGCGGCGUGCUUAACACAUGCAAGUCGAACGAAGCACCUCUCCCGAAGAUUGACACAGCUUGCUGUAGAUUGAUUCAUUUGAGGUGACUGAGUGGCGGACGGGUGAGUAACGCGUGGGUAACCUGCCUCAUAGAGGGGGACAACAGUUGGAAACGACUGCUAAUACCGCAUAGUAAGAAGAAUUCGCAUGUUUUCUUCUUGAAAGAUUUAUCGCUAUGAGAUGGACCCGCGUCUGAUUAGCUAGUUGGUAAGGUAACGGCUUACCAAGGCGACGAUCAGUAGCCGGCUUGAGAGAGUGAACGGCCACAUUGGGACUGAGACACGGCCCAAACUCCUACGGGAGGCAGCAGUGGGGAAUAUUGCACAAUGGGGGAAACCCUGAUGCAGCGACGCCGCGUGAGUGAAGAAGUAUUUCGGUAUGUAAAGCUCUAUCAGCAGGGAAGAUAAUGACG